rnacentral:rRNA from 1 species
CCUACGGGAGGCAGCAGCAAGGAAUAUUGUGCAAUGGGCGAAAGCCUGACACAGCGACGCCGCGUGAGGGAUGAAGACCUUCGGGUUGUAAACCUCUUUUGCCAGGGACGAAUAAUGACGGUACCUGGCGAAUAAGUCUCGGCCAACUACGUGCCAGCAGCCGCGGUAAUACGUAGGAGGCAAGCGUUAUCCGGAUUUAUUGGGCGUACAGAGAGUGUAGGCGACUCGUCAAGUCGAACGUAAAAUCUUCCGGCUUAACUGGAAGGGACCAUUCGAUACUGACGGGCUGGAGUGCCGUAGAGGAAAGCGGAAUUCCCGGUGUAGUGGUGAAAUGCGUAGAUAUCGGGAGGAACACCAGUGGCGAAGGCGGCUUUCUAGGCGGCUACUGACGCUGAGGCUCGAAAGCGUGGGGAGCGAACAGGAUUAGAUACCCUGGUAGUCCACGCUGUAAACUAUGGACACUAGGUAUGGGGAGUAUCGACCCUCUCUGUGCCGAAGCUAACGCGUUAAGUGUCCCGUCUGGGGACUACGGCCGCAAGGCUAAAACUCAAAGGAAUUGACGG